UGGGGAAUAUUGGACGAUGGGGGAAACCCUGAUCCAGCCAUGCCGCGUGUGUGAAGAAGGCCUUCGGGUUGUAAAGCACUUUAAGCGAGGAGGAAGGUUCGUUGGUUAAUAACCAGCGGAAUUGACGUUACUCGCAGAAUAAGCACCGGCUAACUCUGUGCCAGCAACCGCGGUAAUACAGAGGGUGCAAGCGUUAAUCGGAAUUACUGGGCGUAAAGCGCGCGUAGGCGGUUGUGUAAGUUGGAGGUGAAAUCCCCGGGCUUAACCUGGGCACUGCCUUCAAAACUGCACGGCUAGAGUAUGGGAGAGGAAGGUAGAAUUCCAGGUGUAGCGGUGAAAUGCGUAGAGAUCUGGAGGAAUACCGAUGGCGAAGGCAGCCUUCUGGCCUAAUACUGACGCUGAGGUGCGAAAGCAUGGGGAGCAAACA
rnacentral:rRNA from 1 species